GCAUAAUCACUUGCCCUUUAAUUCAGGGCUCGUAUGAAAGGACGAACGAGACUCCACCUUUAUUAAUUUUACUAAGCAUAACCUGGCGUUCAGGUGAAAAUUCCUGAAUACCCAUGAAAGACAAGAAGACCCUAUAGAGUUUUAAUACUCUUUUCACCCCUAACCUCAUUAUUUUAAUUGGGGCGAUUAAGGAUUUCAAUAUACAUCCUAAACUAAACCCAAGAAUCUCCUUUUGAAACAAUCCUUCUCCUGGAAUUUAAACUAAACUACCUUAGGGAUAACAGGCUUAUCUUCCUAACGAGUCCAAAUUGACAGGAAGGUUUGGCACCUCGAUGUUGGCUUAGAGAAACCUAAUAAAGCAAAA
rnacentral:rRNA from 1 species